CAUGGCAUGGCAUGGCAUGGCAUGGCAUGGCAUGGCAUGGCAUGGCAUGGCAUGGCAUGAGGGAGAGGAUCCUGCCCCUCUGCCCUACCCUGGAGAGGCACAGCUGGGACUGCUGUGUCCAGCUUUGGGAUCCUCAGCAUAGAGACAGGGAACCACGGGAGGGGUCCAGCAGGUGAAGAUGAGGAUGGUGUGGGAGCAUGUCUGCCAUGUGAGGAAAGACAGCUGGAGCUGAGCCUGUUUAGUCUGGAGAACACUGAGGAUCUCAUUAAUGCAUACAAAUAUCUUCAAGGCGGGUGCCUGUGGGGAUGAUGGUUCCAGACUGCUUUCGGUGGUGCCCAGUGACAGGAUGAGGAGCAGUGGCCAUAAACUAAAACACAAGAAGUUCCACCGCAAUAUUAAGAAGAAUUUCUUCAGAUUGAGGGGUGGCACAGCUCUGGAAUUGCUGCCUGUGGAAGGCGUGGAGUGUCCCCCUCUGGAGACAUUGAAACCCACCCGGACGCGUUCCUGUCUCAGCUGCUCCAGCUUUAUAUCCUGAUAAUGAUGCUGUAUGGCAUGGAAUAUGAUUAACACUGUGUUCAGCACAAAUUCAGAACAAGGCUCCAUACUAGCUAAUUAGCUCUGCCCCAGCCAAAACCAGCCCACAGAAACACCAGUCCAGCAUUACUCUGAAGACACAAAAAGUAUGAAAGUAUGUAUACUCAUAGUUCAGUUAUUGCCUGUUAGGACACACAGUGAGAGAUGUAUCCUUUGCCUCCUUUCCAAAAUUAUAACAAAGAGCAGGAGGCUCCAUGAUAGCUCCAGAAGAAUAAGGGAAGGGCAUUCAACCAGGUAUAGAAAGAACAAUAUUGUAAGAAGAUUUUGGAGUCCAGUCUUAGUAGGCGCAGAAGUAGUAUUUACAUACAUUGGUGCCUUGCUCACCAGCAAACUCCACUAAAUGAUACUUGACAGUGGCUUUUGCUCCACUCCCUUUAUUGCUGUGAUGCUUGAGGUGAUGGAUGGAUCACUUUAACACUGCCUAACAGAAGUACUUUGUUAGGGAAGAUAAAGCCCACUAACAGUAUUAUUGAUAUGUCUAGAGGAACAGCUAGAAUUAGUUCAAACUGAUCAAUCCCAUUGCUCAGGGAUCCAAAAAGCUCAGUUUUUACCAGAAAGAGUAGAUAUAGGAGGUUCUUGAAAAGUUAUAUCAUCUGGACUAUUUCAGGUAUCACAAUACUCUUGCUGCUACUGUUUUUCCCUGCUUUGCUACAUUCACAAACUGCCCCCAUGUCCAGGUCCCCUUCUCCCAUGUGGUUUUGGUACCAAGAGCUCCUACAGUUAAUAAAGAGGAAAAAAGGUGGCUUAGAAAAUGCACUUUGACAUCUCAUGACAUCAAUACUACUUUUAGCCCCCUCAUGGUUUCUGAAGAAUACCCAGCCUGAUACAAUGAAGAGGCAAAUGUGUCAAAAUGUUACCUAAGUUACAAAUUACCCUAGAAUGGUACAGAUCCUUAACAUAUGAGAAAUGUAUUACCUGAAGAACAUAAUGGAAGUUUGCAGACAGUGUUCCAGGACAGGGGAGAGAGGAGAGAUGUUUGAACAUUUCUGCUUGCUCCAUUUUGGAGACAUUGCUGGAAGAGUAGGUUAGUCUGAACAUGGACAUAAGAAAAAAUAGGUGCACAAGUAGGAUUUGGAGCUGUGUAUCAUUGUAGUUUCUUUUUCUUCCUGUGCAUUUUCUAAUUUUUUUGAUAAACUAACAUGCACUCCUUUAACCCAUUAGCUCACAUGAAACAAGUUCAGUUAAAGCUGGUACAUUCAGGUUAUAUUUUCCCAAAGAUAAAUCCUCCAGGGAACUUGAAUGCUUUGGUGGCAAAGUUGGCAGUAGCUUUUGUCAAGCUCCAAUGGCAAUUAACGGAGUAGGAAGGUCAGGCAUAACACAGAGAAGCUCACCCAGUACUUACACCACCUCACAGCUCCAAGCAAUGUGCAGAAUCACACAGUGGUGUAGUCAAACUGGUUUUUAAUCUGUGCUUAUCAGUCAGCCCUGGCAGUCAGAAAGGCAACAAUAAGAUAUUUGGAAAAUGAUGUUGUGGUCUGUUUGCACUGAGCAAGGAGAGAAGGUGGCAGAGAAUAAAAAAGGGGCCAGCCAUUUGCACAUCCAGAAAGGGAUCUCAGAAGAGGAGCUGGAUUGCACAGGACAAGCAAGACCUGAAAGUGGAGAACGUUUUGCUUGGAGAAUCUCACCAAAUUGAGAUUUGCACUGGAUAGGAAGACACUCUCAGAUGCCAAGCACUAGCCAGAUUCAGAACUCUAUAAGCACUUAUUUGCAGUUUAUGUGAAUGAGAAUAAAGACUGAGGCAGAGCCUUGAGAGUCUGCAAUCUCUUGAUUGAUCUCUUCAGCUUGCCUAAGGCAUUAAUUACACUCAUCCCUUCAAUAAACAGUUUCUACACUAAAAUCUCCAACGAAGGACGGAAGUGGCCGUGCCAGCCACCGCCACAAAGCUGCUGAUUCACCUCAUCCACCAGCCCAGGAUCUCAGCUCAUCCCUGCUGUUCCAGCCGACAGUUCCUCAGAGCCCUGCAGGAGCACCGGGACUGACUGCCCGAGGGGUUUGUGAAAACAAAGCCUCUCCAUCCCUUCCCGUCUCAGCCGAGAAAGCUGUCACGGGGCCCCUGGUUCUGUUUUCUUGCUAAUGCUGUAGCUAUUGUUGUUUGCCUUGUUAUAA